AAGACUAUAGACCUGCGGAGUACCUGCGGAGGGAUCAUUACAGAGAACAUGCCCUUCGGGGUAUAUCUCCCACCCUUUGUUUACAAUACCAUGUUGCUUUGGCAGGCCCGUCUUCUAGACCACUGGCCUUGGCUGGUCCGUGCCUGCCAGAGGAUAAAAAACCCUAUUUUUUGUGUUUCUGAGCUCUUAAAGUAACGAUAAUUAAAACUUUCAGCAAUGGAUCUCUAGAUCGGAAGAGCA
rnacentral:misc_RNA from 1 species